rnacentral:rRNA from 1 species
UCCUACCGGAAUGGUAGGCCCGGAGAUGAGGGAGUGGCGUACUGGCGUGGAGCGACUGGGCAACCUGCCUUUGUCUGGGGGAUAGUCCUCCGAAAGGAGCAUUUCCCUCCAUAAUAUAUUGAACGGCAUCGUUUAAUAUUGAAAGCUCUGGCGGAUAGAGAUGGGCACGCUCAAGAAGAUUUAGUUGGCGAGGUAAGGGCUCUUCUCGGUGAUCAGCUUUUUGGGGCCUGAGAGGGUGAUCCGCCACACUGGGACUGAUAACUUGACCUCAUUCCCACCGGAGGCCGGUUUGACGAAUAUUGGCUAAUGGGAGCGACCCUGAACCAGCCGUCCACUGAGAAGGAGGACUGCCCUCUGGGUUG